rnacentral:rRNA from 1 species
GACGAACGCUGGCGGCGUGCCUAAUACAUGCAAGUUGAGCGAUGAAGAUUGGUGCUUGCACCAAUUUGAAGAGCAGCGAACGGGUGAGUAACGCGUGGGGAAUCUGCCUUUGAGCGGGGGACAACAUUUGGAAACGAAUGCUAAUACCGCAUAACAACUUUAAACAUAAGUUUUAAGUUUGAAAGAUGCAAUUGCAUCACUCAAAGAUGAUCCCGCGUUGUAUUAGCUAGUUGGUGAGGUAAAGGCUCACCAAGGCGAUGAUACAUAGCCGACCUGAGAGGGUGAUCGGCCACCUUGGGACUGGGACAAGGCCCAAACCCCUUCGGGAGGCAGCAGGAGGGAAUCUUCGGCAAUGGACGAAAGUCUGACCGAGCAACGCCGCGUGAGUGAAGAAGGGUUUCGGAUCGUAAAACUCUGUUGGUAGAGAAGAACGUUGGUGAGAGUGGAAAGCUCAUCAAGUGACGGUAACUACCCAGAAAGGGACGGCUAACUACGUG